AUGCUUAAGAGAGAUCGGGGUUUUGGUCCUGGUUGUUGGUUCCUGAGAUCUGAGUUAUGCUCCAGAAUUUGCAGCCAGAUCCAUCUGGAUUUCAGCGGCUCCUUCAUCCUCUUGUGCCUCCCUCCCUUUUCCAAAAAGAAAGGGAUGACUGUACCCAAAAGAGUCUAUUUUCAAAGGAGGUUCUCUUUGAGCCUCUCCAUAAAAUGCCUUCCUCCCCCCCCCCCAAUUUUCCAAGUAAAAUACAACAGAAAUGAUUCACCAUCGAUGCCAUUUGUGCCAGACCUUGCAAGGAAAUAUUACUUGUGAUGCACAAAGGAUGCUCUGCCUUUCUGCCACCCUGAGCUUUUGCUGGGGUUUUUGGCUGCCUGCUCUGCCCGUCCUGCAGAGAUGCUGCUGGUUUUGGAGCAGAGAUGGCUCCUCUCCCAAUUCAUCCUCCCCGUGCUGAUGGAGCACCACUGAUGGUAGCACGUGCUGCCUGUGGGAGCUGAGCUGAGCUAUCUGGCUGCAGGAACAGCCCUGCCCCAUGGGAGCUCGCUGCUGAAGGGACUCUAGUGACUUUUGCUUGGCUUGUGCUCCCACGAGACUGAAAAUAACUGGAUUUUCCCUGGAAGGAAGAGAUCAAUGAGCAUUUUCAGGAAAUGCAGACCUUCCCUUACUGCUAAAAUGGGUUAUCACUGUCUAAUGACUGCUGUGACAGAGGUCUCUGUGCAAACCUGGGCUCUCGGGGUGACAAUACGGGUACAGCACAGGAUGCAAGGAGACAAUUUGGUAUAGCAGAGCUGGGAGGCUGGUGCGAGUCCUUCUUCCCAAAGGCAUAGAUCAGAGAUAUUUUUCUGCUAUCCUUGGCUUCUUAUGGUUGUUCACAGCAGAAGACCUUUGAGGUUCCUUACCAGCUGCAGAAAACGCCUGUGGCCAUGAGCUGGGCUCCGGAUCGCAGCAGCCUCUGUUAGAGAUGCUCAGAGCUGGAAUUUGCUCUUUCAUUCAAGCUUUGAGGCUUGCAGGGUGAAGUGAGGGACAGCUCAUGAUUAUUAGUAGCUUUAAAAUUAAUAAUGCUCUUUCUAAUCUUCAUCUUUCAUUAUUAAUAAACAUACAGCAUGCUGUGUUAUAGCUAGACCA
rnacentral:lncRNA from 1 species